CCUACGGGUGGCAGCAGUGAGGAAUAUUGGUCAAUGGCCGAGAGGCUGAACCAGCCAAGUCGCGUGAGGGAAGACGGCCCUACGGGUUGUAAACCUCUUUUGUCGGGGAGCAAAGCGAGUCACGUGUGACUCAUUGAGAGUACCCGAAGUAAAAGCAUCGGCAAAUUCCGUGCCAGCAGCCGCGGUAAUACGGAGGAUGCGAGGGUUAUCCGGAUUUAUUGGGUUUAAGGGGUGCGCAGGCGGAGGUGCAAGUCAGCGGUCAAAUUGCGGGGCGCAACCCCGUACUGCCGUUGAAACUGCAUCCCUUGAGUGCGCGAGAAGUAGGCGGAAUGCUUGGGGUAGCGGUGAAAUGCAUAGAUAUCACGAGGAACUCCGAUGGCGAAGGCGGCAUCCCGGCGCGCAACUGACGUUCAUGCCCGAAAGCGUGGGUAUCGAACAGGAUUAGAUACCCCUGUAGUC
rnacentral:rRNA from 1 species